UGGGGAAUAUUGCACAAUGGGCGCAAGCCUGAUGCAGCAACGCCGCGUGAGGGACGACGGCCUUCGGGUUGUAAACCUCUUUUAGCAGGGCAGAAGCGAAAGUGACGGUACCUGCAGAAACAGCACCGGCUAACUACGUGCCAGCAGCCGCGGUCAUACGUAGGGUGCAAGCGUUAUCCGGAAUUAUUGGGCGUAAAGAGCUCGUAGGCGGUCUGUCGCGUCUGCUGUGAAAACCCGAGGCUCAACCUCGGGCCUGCAGUGGGUACGGGCAGACUAGAGUGCGGUAGGGGAGAUUGGAAUUCCUGGUGUAGCGGUGGAAGGCGCAGAUAUCAGGAGGAACACCGAUGGCGAAGGCAGAUCUCUGGGCCGUAACUGACGCUGAGGAGCGAAAGCGUGGGGAGCGAACA
rnacentral:rRNA from 1 species